UGAUAGAUCACGUAUCGUGGCAAUGCCAUUUUUGUUACUAUUUAAUUAAUUAACUAUUUGGCGAACCGAGAACAGUCUUCAUUAGAAAACUCCUGAAAGUGAAUCACUGUCUCCCAUUCUCAUGUGACGUAGUAUUACACAAUCGCGCAAUAGCGAUUUGCAGGGUCAUACGCUCAUCCUUGAAAAGCUGUAACAUAUCGAUCUGAUUAUAAUAUAUUAAAUAUUAUCAAUUUAUUAAUAUUAAGAUACGAAUAUUCCAAGCUCAUAUACGUAAACUACGUGUAACGUAAGUAACGCAAAUGAUCUCGGUGGGGACUAAAUUGCUUGAAUACGAAAAGCAAACAUUUAGAGACUCAUCCGAGACUCCUUAUGAUCAACUGCGCAGAACGUCGUCCUUUAUCAGUGUCCUGACGAUCGGAUCUUCUAUGAUGAAUGUAAAUUCUAUAAAUGAAUCUAUUAUGAAUCUAAAGACACAUUUUCUCGUGAUGGAGUUCAUCACUUGCCUAAAUAGGUGGCUUGAAGUUAUAAGAGGCAGCGACAAAUACUUUGAUCGAACUACCUGCGGUAUUUUUUCGAUAUACAGCUCUGAGCUUUGGACUUUGAGCACUGCAGAUUACUCAUUUCAUUGGAUUAUUCAUUUGUACACCUAUUAUUAACUCUACUUUGCGUCCCUCGGCUCAUCUUCGUCUCGAUCCUGUAUACUUCCAGCGUUAAAAAGUUUCCUCAGUUCAGAAGAAACAUGAAACAAUCGUUACUGAUAUGCAAAUUCCUUCUUUGAAUAUUAUGUUAUAAAUUUUCCUAAAACGUUGAAAGCGUUUGUAUCCGUCGACAUAGUGACGAGCCGUAAAAAUCGGAGAACCGCAGUAGGGUUAAUAAUACGUCAGAGAAACUUAAACAAAUACGCAUAUACUUAUUACAUGAUCCGUAUAUUCUUUCUCCAAAGAUAACUAUCUUGCGAAGAAUAUCGGAUCAGGUUGGCAAAUUAAGUUAAUAUACAUAACUAUACGAAGUUUUAAUUAGUCGUUGCAUUCAGCAUAGUUUACAAGAUACAUGUAUAUGCUGAUGCUGAUACAAAGCGCACAAUUUGUCUUCUUUUGCUUAUUCGAUUGUACGGAAUGAUCAAGAGCUUCGUUAUAACAUUUCGCUUGUUAAAAGAAUUAUAAAUGAGUCCAUAUGUCAAUCAGAUUUUAUAGAAACUAUAUUUCUAUGUUGUGGUUGUAAUUUUAAGUUUCUCAAACUAUUUAAAAUACUUUAUUUAGUACAUAGAUAGAAUCGGAUCUUAAUAGGUAGCUACUUAAUUAACAAAACAGUUUUAGAUACGUGACAGAUUUUUAUAAUGAGACGUCGAGAAUCAAUAAACGAAUUAACUAUAUAAAAUAUGCGUGUUUCGUAAAAUAUUAUCACUGUAUGACUCCUUUGUAUAAUUGAGAGUUACAAAGGCUCUGCCCACUUUAACUCCGGUCCACUGCGUCCGCAGCGUGGCAGAAAUUGCAAUCGUCAGUUAACUUAGUAUACUUGAGAAAUCUGACUAUUUAACAUCACGUAUUAUCAUCAUAGCGUUAUAGUAGAAACUAUUCUUAAUGCAUCGGAAUUAUGAAUGCAUUAUGAGCAAACAACGAUAAUAUUCUUCUUUGAGUUAUUGCUAUGUUAAUUAC
rnacentral:misc_RNA from 1 species